rnacentral:lncRNA from 1 species
AUGCUGCUUUGGAAGGAUUCCAAAGCACUUCCUUCACAGCACCUCUGUAAAAGAAAUCUUAUAAUUACAAGAAAUAUUAUAAUUAUUCUCAUUUUUCUGAUGAGGAAACUCAGGUUCAAAGAGGAAGGACAGAAGACAGUGCAUAGCUCAUUUGGAAAGGGCUCAUCAUUCACUCAAUCACCAAACCUACAUAAUAAGAACUUUGCUUGGCAAUGGAGGAGAUACAGCGUUGACAUAUGCAUGGAGCUUACAGUCUAAUAAACAUGAUUAACUUAUAUCAUGGACAAGCAUUAUGAAAGAAAUAUGAUAUGGAAGGUCUGAAGAAGAUCAUUGAAGGGGAGACCAUAGAUGUUGCCCUAGAAGAAAUCUCUGAGAUUACCUAAUCCAAAGUCCUCAUUUUAUAUUUGGGGAUAUUAAGGCCCAAAGAGACUAUGUGAUUUGCCAAGAACACACAGAUAUUAAAUGUCAGAGAUGGGAUGAACUCAGCUCUCUCACUCCAGAGUCAGCUUUCUUUUCAUUGUACCAAGAUCAGGGAAGACUCCCUGCAGGAGUGAGCAAUUGAUUCCACAGAAUUUGACCAAUGGAACAGACCAGAGGCGCUGUCUCGCCUGAGCCAUACUAGAAAGGAAAUCUCAUUAUAUCUAUCUAGCAGCAGGUGUAUUACACCACCAUCAUCCAGCCUCUGCUUGAAGACUUCUAGCAAGAGAAAACCUCCAACUUCCUAGGGCAGCCUGUUCUACUUUGAAGUACUCAUCUGGAAGCUUCUACAGACAUCCAACUUCUUCGAAACUUCUCCUCUUUGUUCCUGGUUCUCCCUUCGGGGGCCAAAUCCAAAAAAUGCAAUUUCUCCUCCACAUGACAUCCCUUCAAAUACUUGAGAACCCCUACCAUGUCCCUCCUGAGCCUUCUCCAGACUAAAUACAUCCCCAUUUGCUUUGACUAUUCCUGGAAAUGGACGUUAAAGGAAGGAGGGGCAGGAAUUCAACAGGCAGAAAGGGAGGUCCUUCCAGGCAUGGGAAACAGCACCGGGUUUAUUUGGGGGAAAGAGCAAUCCAGUGGGUCUGGAGCAUUGAAUGUGAGAACCAUGAGAUAAAAUUGUAAACAUGGUAUUAGCACCAGUCGUGAAAACCUUGAAGGCAAGGCAUUGGAAUCUGAACUGUGCCUAGAAAACAAAAGGGCAAUACUCAUCAGAGGAAUAAAAUGGCAGAUCUAUGGAUAAUAAGGCGAAUU